CAUCGGUGCUAGCGGUGAUGAGAUACGACCAGUAUUAAUGAAGGGAGAUCAACGAGAAUGCUUCCCUUAAUAAAUAGUGCAAAAAAUAAACAAAAUAAUAAAGAAAAAAAUACCCGAUGCGAGUGGUGUGUCUGCCCUCCACCAGGCGGCGCGAUCCCCUUCCCGACUUUUUUCCUUCUCUUUCCCUCUCCUCCUCGCUCAUCCUCCUCCGCUUUCCUUUGUUCCCAGAGGCCGGCCCCAGUGUGGUUUCCGUUGUGCUCGGGAGCAGUCGCGUAGUCGCCCGUGUCCAGCUCCUUCUUUGUUCUUUGUUCCGAAAUCGGUCUUCUUCUUCUUCGGACCCCGAACGUCGCCUCACGCUUCCUGCCUUCGUCAAAGGGCCUCCUUUCGUUCGACACAUUGGGCGCAAGAGCGAGUUGCACGGCUGGCCCUCCGUUUCAAGUGACCUCCUUCAGCUGCGGAUGACCUGUGCUUAAUCAAGACCGCUUGAAUGGCAACUGAGAACUUGCUCCAAGCAAAAAGUGUUUUUAUGAAAUCGUGUUAGCUCGUGCGAAUUCACUGAAUAGGAACAAGUGUGUUUUCAUCGAGACAGCUCUCGUCUGCAAACUUGCAUUGUCGGCCUAAUAAAGUGUGAGGUUAUUAAAAUGUGAGGUAAAAAAGGAAAAAUCUGUUGUUUUGUGUUUUGCUGGUGAGGACGAAGCCCCUGCUGUGCACACCUGCGGAAACGAAGUAAGUCCCUUAUCAGUUUGUUCAGAGAUUUGAUUUUUUCCCGUGGUAAUCGUGAAAAA